AAAUAGGUGCCCGUACCGCAAACCGACACAGGUAGUCAAGAUGAGAAUUCUAAGGUGAGCGAGCGAACUCUCGUUAAGGAACUCGGCAAAAUGACCCCGUAACUUCGGGAGAAGGGGUGCUCUUUAGGGUUAACGCCCAGAAGAGCCGCAGUGAAUAGGCCCAAGCGACUGUUUAUCAAAAACACAGGUCUCUGCUAAACCGUAAGGUGAUGUAUAGGGGCUGACGCCUGCCCGGUGCUGGAAGGUUAAGAGGAGUGGUUAGCUUCUGCGAAGCUACGAAUCGAAGCCCCAGUAAACGGCGGCCGUAACUAUAACGGUCCUAAGGUAGCGAAAUUCCUUGUCGGGUAAGUUCCGACCCGCACGAAAGGCGUAACGAUUUGGGCACUGUCUCAACGAGAGACUCGGUGAAAUCAUAGUACCUGUGAAGAUGCAGGUUACCCGCGACAGGACGGAAAGACCCCGUGGAGCUUUACUGUAGCCUGAUAUUGAAAUUCGGCACAGCUUGUACAGGAUAGGUAGGAGCCUUUGAAACGUGAGCGCUAGCUUACGUGGAGGCGCUGGUGGGAUACUACCCUAGCUGUGUUGGCUUUCUAACCCGCACCACUUAUCGUGGUGGGAGACAGUGUCAGGCGGGCAGUUUGACUGGGGCGGUCGCCUCCUAAAAGGUAACGGAGGCGCUCAAAGGUUCCCUCAGAAUGGUUGGAAAUCAUUCAUAGAGUGUAAAGGCAUAAGGGAGCUUGACUGCGAGACCUACAAGUCGAGCAGGGUCGAAAGACGGACUUAGUGAUCCGGUGGUUCCGCAUGGAAGGGCCAUCGCUCAACGGAUAAAAGCUACCCCGGGGAUAACAGGCUUAUCUCCCCCAAGAGUUCACAUCGACGGGGAGGUUUGGCACCUCGAUGUCGGCUCAUCGCAUCCUGGGGCUGUAGUCGGUCCCAAGGGUUGGGCUGUUCGCCCAUUAAAGCGGUACGCGAGCUGGGUUCAGAACGUCGUGAGACAGUUC
rnacentral:rRNA from 1 species